rnacentral:rRNA from 1 species
AACGGAGGGGGCGAGCGUUGUCCGGAUUCACUGGGCAUAAAGGGAGCGCAGGCGUUCUGAUAAGUCUCGGGUUAAAGACUUCUGCCCAACGGAAGGAUUGCCCGGGAAACUGUCAGAAUAGAGUAUGGGAGAGGGGAACGGAACUCCUGGUGUAGCGGUGAAAUGCGUAGAUAUCAGGAGGAACACCGAUGGCGAAGGCAGUUCCCUGGAACAUUACUGACGCUCAGGCUCGAAAGCUGGGGGAGCAAACAGG